rnacentral:rRNA from 1 species
GAGGCGGUAUGGUUCAAGGCCGGUUCCCAGAUCUUCAGCGAGGGUGGCCUCGACUACCUGGGCAACCCCAGCCUCGUGCACGCACAAAGCAUCCUUGCUAUCUGGGCAUGCCAAGUCGUGCUCAUGGGCGCUGUUGAGGGGUACCGCAUUGCUGGCGGCCCACUCGGUGAGGUAGUCGACCCACUCUACCCCGGGGGCAGCUUCGACCCACUGGGCUUGGCUGACGAUCCAGAGGCAUUCGCGGAGCUCAAGGUGAAGGAAGUCAAGAACGGUCGCCUCGCCAUGUUUUCUAUGUUUGGCUUCUUCGUGCAGGCCAUCGUCACCGGCAAGGGCCCACUCGAGAACCUCGCUGACCACCUCUCCGACCCUGUCAACAACAACGCAUGGGCGUUUGCCACAAACUUUGUCCCGGGCAAGUGA